rnacentral:rRNA from 1 species
GCCUACGGGGGGCAGCAGUAGGGGAUAUUGGUAAUCUGCGAAAGCGGGAACCAGCAACGCCGCGUGUGCGAUGAAGGCCUUCGGGUUGUAAAGCACUUUUCACCGGGACGAGGAAGGACGGUACCGGUGGAAUAAGCCUCGGCUAACUACGUGCCAGCAGCCGCGGUAAAACGUAGGAGGCGAGCGUUAUCCGGAUUUACUGGGUGUAAAGCGCAUGCAGGCGGUUCGUUAAGUUGGGUGUGAAAGCUCCUGGCUCAACUGGGAGAGGUCGCUCAAGACUGGCGGACUAGAGGGUGGUAGGGGAAGGCGGAAUUCCGGGUGUAGUGGUGAAAUGCGUAGAUAUCCGGAGGAACACCAGUGGCGAAGGCGGCCUUCUAGACCAUGACUGACGCUCAGAUGCGAAAGCUAGGGUAGCAAACGGGAUUAGAUACCCCCGUAGUCCC